rnacentral:rRNA from 1 species
UGGGUAACCUGCCUGUAAGACUGGGAUAACUCCGGGAAACCGGAGCUAAUACCGGAUAGUUCCUUGAACCGCAUGGUUCAAGGAUGAAAGACGGUUUCGGCUGUCACUUUCAGAUGGACCCGCGGCGCAUUAGCUAGUUGGUGAGGUAACGGCUCACCAAGGCGACGAUGCGUAGCCGACCUGAGAGGGUGAUCGGCCACACUGGGACUGAGACACGGCCCAGACUCCUACGGGAGGCAGCAGUAGGGAAACUUCCGCAAUGGACGAAAGUCUGACGGACAACGCCGCGUGAGUGAUGAAGGUUUUCGGAUCGUAAAGCUCUGUUGUUAGGGAAGAACAAGUGCAAGAGUAACUGCUUGCACCUUGACGGUACCUAACCAGAAAGCCACGGCUAACUACGUGCCAGCAGCCGCGGUAAUACGUAGGUGGCAAGCGUUGUCCGGAAAUAUUGGGCGUAAAGGGCUCGCAGGCGGUUUCUUUAGUCUGAUGUGAAAGCCCCCGGCUCAACCGGGGAGGGUCAUUGGAAACUGGGAAACUUGAGUGCAGAAGAGGAGAGUGGAAUUCCACGUGUAGCGGUGAAAUGCGUAGAGAUGUGGAGGAACACCAGUGGCGAAGGCGACUCUCUGGUCUGUAACUGACGCUGAGGAGCGAAAGCGUGGGGAGCGAACAGGAUUAGAUACCCUGGUAGUCCACGCCGUAAACGAUGAGUGCUAAGUGUUA